AACGAACGCUGGCGGCAGGCCUAACACAUGCAAGUCGAACGGGAUCUUCGGAUCUAGUGGCGGACGGGUGAGUAACGCGUGGGAACGUGCCCUUUGGUUCGGAAUAGCCCCGGGAAACUGGGAGUAAUACCGGAUAAGCCCUACGGGGGAAAGAUUUAUCGCCAAAGGAUCGGCCCGCGUUGGAUUAGGUAGUUGGGGAGGUAAUGGCUCACCAAGCCGACGAUCCAUAGCUGGUUUGAGAGGAUGAUCAGCUACACUGGGACUGAGACACGGCCCAGACUCCUACGGGAGGCAGGAGUGGGGAAUCUUAGACAACGGGGGAAACCCUGAUCUAGCCAUGCCGCGUGAUCGAUGAAGGCCUUAGGGUUGUAAAGAUCUUUCAGUGGGGAAGAUAAUGACUGUACCCACAGAAGAAGCCCCGGCUAACUCCGUGCCAGCCGCCGCCGUAA
rnacentral:rRNA from 1 species